rnacentral:lncRNA from 1 species
AGGAUUACUCUUUGAAGGAGUAUAACAUGCUUUAAAAUUAAGAUAUCUAAGACUUGGUUUGGCCUUAUGCUGCAAGAAGAAAAAACUUACGAGCGACUUGUGCAGGAAUGAAAUAUUUUGUCAUAACUCUGCCUGUAUUCCUCUUUGUGAGGCAAGACACUAUUCUUUAACUUUUUUUAAUCUGAUUCUGGCAAGAAAGAUUGGCUUGAUAAAGAAGUAUGGUAUUACUAUGUUAUUGAAGAGCCAGUGGUUUCGACCUAGCUGCUUAAUUGGCAUUAAAAUCUAAAUUCAGGGCAUUAUAGUCAUUUUAGUAUUAGCUGCAUACGCAUGUUAGGGUAUCGGUGCAUAUGUGGAGUUUAUUCAUACGGCCACCACAUAGUUGUGUUUGUACAGAGUAGUUCAUCUUUUUUCAUUCAAUAAGCUCUUCACCUUCCAGUCUUCUACUUCUAUACCCUGUAUAUGCAAUUGAACUGGGCAUGGCUUUGUUGUUUGUGUACUUGCAGAUCAUCCAUCCAUCACCCUCCAAUUCAAACCUUGGUGCUAUCUUUGUCAAAUCUAUUGUAAGCUUCGAGUAAUUUAUAUUCUACAAAAUUUGGUGUCAAAUUGUUCUUUCCAUCCAAGUUUCCUCCAACAACGUCUCAGAGAGGUCGAGAUGUUUUGGAGAUUUGAGGGGGUUGCCGUGAGCUAUUUUUAUGAGGAUUUUGCUCCUCCUUGGUCCUCCAUGCCGAUUGACCCCCAUAGAAAUUUUUUUUUUACUAAAGGGUUGUUGCAGUAUUUUCUCAAUCAUAGCUCGACUUAUUCUGCACAUGCAUGUACUCACUAAUUAUUUUCUGUCAAUUUUCUAACAGGUAAUGAUAUUAAGAACUCAAUGAGUAUAGAGAAAGGCUCCGUGAACAAAAUUUCACAAGGUCAAUAAUGCAUUUAUGUUCUGAAAGAGUUCAUGAUGUUUUCCACUAGGUUAGAUGGAUUUUGUUAUAUUAGGUUUUAUUGUUUCCAUUAUUAUUGUAUUGGGAAAAAAACUGAAUUUAUAUUAAAAAUGAUGUGGCAUGACACGUGGAUUAGUUGAAUGGUCAAAGAACAGCAAUUGACUAAGAGGCA